AAAUUGAAGAGUUUGAUCAUGGCUCAGAUUGAACGCUGGCGGCAGGCCUAACACAUGCAAGUCGAACGGUAACAGGAAGCAGCUUGCUGCUUCGCUGACAAGUGGCGGACGGGUGAGUAAUGUCUGGGAAACUGCCUGAUGGAGGGGGAUAACUACUGGAAACGGUGGCUAAUACCGCAUGACGUCGCAAGACCAAAGAGGGGGACCUUCGGGCCUCUUGCCAUCAGAUGUGCCCAGAUGGGAUUAGCUUGUUGGUGAGGUAACGGCUCACCAAGGCGACGAUCCCUAGCUGGUCUGAGAGGAUGACCAGCCACACUGGAACUGAGACACGGUCCAGACUCCUACGGGAGGCAGCAGUGGGGAAUAUUGCACAAUG
rnacentral:rRNA from 1 species